UGCAACUUAAGGACUUGGGUUUAACUUGACCUAACUGAGUCAUUUUGGUGCGUAACCUAGGGACUCUCAAGUUAAACUUAACGUAACAUUAACUGAUACCUUGCCUUAACCUACCAUCACCAAGUACAUGUAAUGCAUGGUAAUGUUGUGAUAUAUAUAGCUAAAGUAGAAUAUAACCGUAAUUAUGAAAUAGAGUACUCCAAGAUGUUAGAAUAGGCAACGUUAAGUAAAAAAAAAGGUAAAGUGGGUGCAUUCGCAGUGGCUGCGCGUGGCUGCGGCACUCAUCUCCAUCCCAUUAGCCCUUGGAGCCUGUGGUGGGUAAGAACCCGUUAUCUCGGGACACAUGGCUGCAGGGAAUGACAUCCGGGUUUCCACAGUUUACCUUCCCCAGGUUUCCCCAGGUACCCGUUUAUCGACCAACCCGAAAGGGAUGGAUGAACAGCUGGGUGGGCUGUACGCCGACUGCCCAGGCCGGGAUCGAACCCGAAAACUGGGCCCGCAGAUUUGUAGCCAGGCAUGCUGACCACUGCACCACGGAGGCACUACAUUAUUGGGAAACUUCCAUAGAUGAUGGUUUUCCUUUUGGGGAGCCUUUAAAAAAAAGUUUUUUUUUUAUUUACCAUAGACUUUUUGAGUCUUGCCAAAUUUGCCCUUUUUGGCUUCCCACACCCUAAAACCUCACUUUCCUGCCAGGUCCCCAAGUUUGCUGGUGCUGGCAAAAACAGAAUCAAUGAAGCAUGGCAGACGCAGAAGCGGCACAAUAAGGCGAAAGGAAGAGCGUAUCCUGCUACUGUAUGGGCUGGAUCAACCUCAACUUGUAACUGGUGGUAGCUACUCCAUCCAUUAAUUCUUUCCCUCUGUUGAGACAACUUAAAAGUACUAAACCACUACUCUAACUCUCCUAUUUUUCCCUGACUUUUGAUCACAGUCUCUUCUCAAUUAAUUAUGUCUUACCAUAAAAGAUACAGGCAGAUACAACGUGAGCUCAAGGAACUGUUGGUUAGUAGUAGUGAAGAGGAAGCUGACUGGGUUCAUCAAAACACCAAAAUUCCCAAACUUUACCAUAAUAACUCUGACCCAUCUUUAAGCUUUUCUGACCAGGACAGUUGUGAAAGUACAUCCUUAUCCCCCUUGAUAGUAACUGCACCAGAAGAAUUAAGCACAGAUGAUGAGAGUCACCACCAUAUAUCUGAUUUGGCACUUGAAGAAGGAUUAGCUUUAUGGGCAUCAAAAAAUAACAUUACACGCCAGGCAGCAAA